UCGUGGGCGACUGCGAAUCUGAAAGAAGCUGGCGGCAAAUAUUCGAGCCUACGAACAGAAACUUCAUACAAGGCGGUUAUGUGUGGGUGAUGAAAACGUGCCGGACAAGGGUUGUUAAU
rfam:Fulvivirga imtechensis AK7 contig15, whole genome shotgun sequence.